CCUACGGGCGGCAGCAGUGGGGAAUAUUGCACAAUGGGCGCAAGCCUGAUGCAGCCAUGCCGCGUGUGUGAAGAAGGCCUUCGGGUUGUAAAGCACUUUCAGCGGGGAGGAAGGCGUUAAGGUUAAUAACCUUGUCGAUUGACGUUACCCGCAGAAGAAGCACCGGCUAACUCCGUGCCAGCAGCCGCGGUAAUACGGAGGGUGCAAGCGUUAAUCGGAAUUACUGGGCGUAAAGCGCACGCAGGCGGUCUGUCAAGUCGGAUGUGAAAUCCCCGGGCUCAACCUGGGAACUGCAUUCGAAACUGGCAGGCUAGAGUCUUGUAGAGGGGGGUAGAAUUCCAGGUGUAGCGGUGAAAUGCGUAGAGAUCUGGAGGAAUACCGGUGGCGAAGGCGGCCCCCUGGACAAAGACCGACGCUCAGGUGCGAAAGCGUGGGGAGCAAACAGGAUUAGAUACCCGAGUAGUC
rnacentral:rRNA from 1 species